rnacentral:rRNA from 1 species
CAGUCGAACGAAGCACUUUAUUUGAUUUCCUUCGGGACUGAUUAUUUUGUCACUGAGUGGCGGACGGGUGAGUAACGCGUGGGUAACCUGCCUUGUACAGGGGGAUAACAGUUGGAAACGGCUGCUAAUACCGCAUAAGCGCACAGCAUCGCAUGAUGCAGUGUGAAAAACUCCGGUGGUAUAAGAUGGACCCGCGUUGGAUUAGCUAGUUGGUGAGGUAACGGCCCACCAAGGCGACGAUCCAUAGCCGACCUGAGAGGGUGACCGGCCACAUUGGGACUGAGACACGGCCCAAACUCCUACGGGAGGCAGCAGUGGGGAAUAUUGCACAAUGGGCGAAAGCCUGAUGCAGCGACGCCGCGUGAGCGAAGAAGUAUUUCGGUAUGUAAAGCUCUAUCAGCAGGGAAGAUAAUGACGGUACCUGACUAAGAAGCACCGGCUAAAUACGUGCCAGCAGCCGCGGUAAUACGUAUGGUGCAAGCGUUAUCCGGAUUUACUGGGUGUAAAGGGAGCGCAGGCGGUGCGGCAAGUCUGAUGUGAAAGCCCGGGGCUCAACCCCGGUACUGCAUUGGAAACUGUCGUACUAGAGUGUCGGAGGGGUAAGCGGAAUUCCUAGUGUAGCGGUGAAAUGCGUAGAUAUUAGGAGGAACACCAGUGGCGAAGGCGGCUUACUGGACGAUAACUGACGCUGAGGCUCGAAAGCGUGG